rnacentral:ncRNA from 1 species
GAAUACAGAGGGCGGAACAGGUAGCCGCCACCCAGCGAAAGCUGUAGGAGAUGUAGAUUACCACCUACCUUGUUC